rnacentral:rRNA from 1 species
UACGUAGGGUGCAAGCGUUGUCCGGAAUCAUUGGGCGUAAAGGGCGCGUAGGUGGCCCGGUCAGCGUGCGGUGAAAGCUCGGGGCUCAACCCCGAGUCGGCCGUGCGAACUGCUGGGCUUGAGCACUGUAGAGGCAGGCGGAAUUCCGGGUGUAGCGGUGGAAUGCGUAGAGAUCCGGAAGAACACCGGUGGCGAAGGCGGCCUGCUGGGCAGUGGCUGACACUGAGGCACGAAAGCUAGGGGAGCAAACAGG